rnacentral:piRNA from 1 species
UAAUAAAUAUGAAAGCAUUUU